UACGUAGGGGGCAAGCGUUGUCCGGAAUCAUUGGGCGUAAAGAGCGCGUAGGCGGCCCUGUAAGUCCGCUGUGAAAGUCAAGGGCUCAACCCUUGAAUGCCGGUGGAUACUGCAGGGCUAGAGUCCGGAAGAGGCGAGUGGAAUUCCUGGUGUAGCGGUGAAAUGCGCAGAUAUCUGGAGGAACACCGGUGGCGAAGGCGGCAUUCUGGACCGAUAUUGACGCUGAGGAGCGAAAAGCCAGGGGAGCAAAGCGGG
rnacentral:rRNA from 1 species